rnacentral:rRNA from 1 species
UACUCCUACGGGAGGCAGCAGUGGGGAAUUUUGGACAAUGGGCGAAAGCCUGAUCCAGCAAUGCCGCGUGCAGGAUGAAGGCCUUCGGGUUGUAAACUGCUUUUGUACGGAACGAAAAAGCUCCUUCUAAUACAGGGGGCCCAUGACGGUACCGUAAGAAUAAGCACCGGCUAACUACGUGCCAGCAGCCGCGGUAAUA